CUUGAGCCUCAACUAAUCUUUGAACAUAUGCAUAUUUUAAACAAGUCUCAAAAUACAGUCAAGGAUUAGCUUAUGUAUCAUGCCUCAUUUCAACCUUCAGUCUUUUGUCCAAUAAAAAACAGUUGAACAAGGAUGUUAGUUGACAGGAGGUUUGUGUACCUGAUGAUCAGUGUUUGCCAUUAAAAACCUUGUCUAUGAUGGCCGACCAUAAUAUGAACUUUAUUUGUAUAGCACUUAUCUAGAAGGUUACAUGGAACAUAUUAAAGUCAAGACCUAAAAUGUAUAGAGAACCCCCAAAGUUCCCACACACACACACACAGACACACACACACACACACACACACACACACACACACACACACACACACACACACACACACACACACACAUCCGGACACUUAAGGAAGUCCAAUCUUAGUUGGUUAUUUUCAGGGCUGAUAUAGAUUAUUAGAAAUUAAGUAAAAUCAUCUGUACUGCACACAGUUUUCCAUUAGGCAUUUGCAUAAAACAGAGAAAUAUUGAGAUUAUUAUGACAAGUGUAAAAUAUUAAACUGGUGGGACAACUGAGACUAUGUAAGCCGAUUUCAAGCUUUGAUGGUGGUGAAACCUCAUGUUCUAUAUUUUUUUAUGCUACUAUAAGCAUAUGUAUAAAUUAACCGUUUGUCAGUCACCUCCAGUCAAGCAGGUGAAGAUAAAAAUACAGGUUGCAAAUGGGAAGACUCAAUUAUAAAGAAAUUAAAUGUAGCUGUCAUCAGGGGUGUUUUUUUUACAUUUGCAGCCGUGAAACUAUUCAGAAAGCUCAUGUGAACUCUGAAACAGUGUUAAUUUUGGCAGCUAUUUUUGAUUUAGUCUUAGUCUUUUGACGAAAAUGCAAAUUAGUUUUAGUCACAUUUAGUCAUUUUUAACCUUCUUAGUUUUAGUCUUGUUUUCGUAGACGAAAACUAAUUCCAUUUUAGUCUAGUUUUAGUCGACGAAAAAUAAUUUCCUUUUUAGUCUAGUUUUAGUCAGCUACGGACCGGUGCGCCAUCUGGGAGCGCACAGGCACACACACACAAACACACACAGACACACACAUAGACUCACUCACACAUAGACUCACUCGCCCGCUCCUGAUACUUCAUGACGGCCUGAUACGAUGAUGUUUUAAAAAUUAUUGUGACUUAGUCAACCACCAACUUUUUCGCCUCGUCAACGAAGGUUAAAAUGGAUUUAGUCAUAGUUUUUAUUUUCAAAGAUUAGUUUUCGUUAAGUCUUCGUCUCGUCUUCGUCAUGGAAAAAAGUUCGUUAACGAAUAUUUUUCGUUAUAGUAACGAAAUUAACACUGCUCUGAAAGAGUAACUAGUAGGGAUGAGCGAGUACAGCAUUAUCUGUAUCUGUUAACCAUAUGAAUUAUCUGUAUCCGUAGCCGUACUCGGAGUGGGCGGGGCCUGACCCGGAAGUGGGUGUGAUUUAACCCGGGAGUGUGUGAGUGAGUGAGUGUGUGUAUGAGUGUGUAGCUUAAUUUGUAAUAUUUUUUAUACCACUACUACCUAGAAUGUGUCAGACACUCAGUGCGUGAAGUAAAAUAAAGCUGGUUAGAGCCAACUGACGGUUUAAAAAAAAAGAAAAUGAGAGAGAGAGAGAGAGACGCUUUCUACCAGUCCCACGUUUAACAGAACUCUACUGGUUAAUAAGUAAGUACAAACUGAAAUAAAAACAGACUUCAAGCUCAAGAAACCCUAAACGUUAACGGAAAAGACCCGCGAACCUGAGUGACUGAAAGACAGAGAGCUGUUCUGUGAGUGAGCAGAGCGGUGUGUGAAGGGGAGGAGCGCUGUGACGCUGUGUGAGGAAUUUCAUUCAGUCCGAGCACAGAUAUUGACUCGUAUUACUCGUAUAAUACUCGUGCUCGGCAAAAGUGCUUUAUCCGUACCGGAUACUCGUUUCAGCCGAGUAUCCGGCUCAUCUCUAGUAACUAAUUCAAAUGCAACAUUUACUAUGGAGACGUAGUAAAACUACGACUAAAGGUUUAUGCCUGUUAAAACGUUUGUAAACUUGAUUUCAACUGCGAAAAAAAUUGCAAGCUGAUCUACUAACAGUGCACAUUGAGGUUUGUGUGCAGAAUAACUUGCGCUGUCUAUUUCGUACGUUUGCCUUAAUGAAUAUGCAAUAUCAGGCGUUUUCUACCAGAGUGCAAUAAAUAUUAGGCGGCUUAGAUGCAUAUACUUUAAUGGAGCACACGCUAUGUGAUUUACAAAGCCUGAACAUCAUGCAGUGGUUAUGACUUCACCUAUAUUUAAAUACGUUUGAAAGCUAGCUGCUAAUCAGCACAGCGUUGCGCACAGAUGGCUGCUCAAUAUUGGUCAGAGAAAUCUCUUCCACGGGCCCACAACCUGUUAUAUUGGCCUUUUCUUAAGAGAAGAAGUCCUGCCAUCUUCUCUUAAUUUCAUCGGUUGUCCUUUCUGUUUUACCCACAACAUUUAGUUUCUUGCAGAUACUCUCCCAUAUCGCGUUUCUUUGAGUUAUAUAAUAAUAAUAAUAAUACAUUUUAUUUCACAGCGCCUUUCAUGUCACUCAAGGACGCUUUACAAUUUAAAACAGGAGCAAACAAAUAACAAAACAAUUAAAAUUAAAAGUGCAAGUAAAAACAGCAGAUUUUACUAGAGAGAUGUCACUAGAACCGAUACUUACGAUACCCUUGGAUGCUAAAAUAACAAAACGCAGACGAAGCCCAUUUUUUUGAAGCAACGUUAGCACCUUGAGCGCCGAUGCCAGCUGUUAGCAUAUAUACGUUCAACAUAUAUGGCUGCACUGUUAUAUCCACUGUUUUGUUUUGCACUGUUGUUGUUUUUGCACAGUACCUUUUGAAAAGAUGCCACAAAGUCUGGAAUGUGUCUGGGGACACUCGUUGUUGCACUGUGACCAUUCAUUGCACUUUAUUAUGUUGUGCUAUGCUCUAUUGCACAUGUUUUGUUUGUCUUAUGACAUUUUUCAGUUUUUCAAAUAUUUUAAUAAAGAAGUUCAUGUUUCAAGUUCAAGUACAUGGUGCUGUGCAAUAGUAGGAGUAGAAUUGACGUUGGCUAAUUAUUAAUAAUCAUGAAAUAUGAUUAUUAAAAUAACAAUUAUUUAUUAAAAAUAAUCUAAAAUGAUAAAGCUAUUAAUUAAGAACAGUAACACAUUUAAUUAGAAAUGAUACGGUUAUCCAUUAAUAAUAGUUAAAAUAAUUAAUGAAAACAAUAAAAUUAUCAAUUAAGAAUAAUACAAAUCUGUAAUCAUUGCUUAUUGUCGCGGGGCACCACCCUGGUUACAGGGACCAACGAGUCAAUCUAUAAAAUAUCAGUCUCAUAAUGAUAAAUGUCAAAUCAAUAAUCUCAAUAUUUAAUAUUAAUAAUUAUUGAAUUAACAGUGAAGGCUUCUAAGUUCGAGCACAGGCAAUCAUAAUCCAGCUGUAAUCACAUACAUAUGCACAAAUAAUCACAGACUAGAGGUACUUUCAUUACAAAAGCGUUUAUUAAAGGGGAAAUAAAGUUAUAAUGUUAUUCAAUGAUUCAUCAUUUUAACAAGCUCCGAUAUUUCAAAGAUAAACAUAGCAGCAGCACUUCACAAUUCAGAAAAUACAUGUAAAACCGGCGGUCUACCUAUGUAUGUCUGUCUCGGUGUGUGUGUGUGUCUGUGUCAAGUGUCUCUCUGUGUGUGUGUCUAUAUGUGUGCAUGUGAAAUACAGUUAGUGUUAUUUAAUGAUUCAUCAUUUUAACAAACUCCCAUAUUUCAAAGAUAACAACAGCAGCCGCGUAUCACAAUUUAGAGGAGAGGGAGAGAGGAGGCGUGGCAAUAAUAGCCUCAAAAUGGUGGUUUAACUUGCUUUAUUCAAAAUGGAGUCUGUUAAUGACACCAUGUGGCCGGCACGGACGUAAUUUGGGGGGGGGACACAGGGGACAUGUCCCCUGCACUUUUUCAAAAGGCCGUUCUGGUCCCCUGCAGUUUUCACCGUCCGGAAACCAUGUUACGCUAUGAAUCGGUGUGUGUGUAAAUGCAAACAUGGUAUUUACUUAAAAAUAGUAAAUUGACUUAAAUCAGUUUUAUCAAAAUGCUAUUAACACUCGCUUUUAGUAAGUUACUUGUAAUUUGUGGUUGGAAAAUCUCACCAGCUCAGUCUGCUUGAGCUGGAUUGAUUUAGAAAAAGUAUGUUUUUGAUAACUGUGCUUAUUUUCUGUGUUGGAAUGUAGCUAAGUACAUUUACUCAAUACUGCACUACAGUACAAAGUACUUUAAGUACUUGAGUUUUUUUUCAUAUUACUUUCUACUUUUACUCCACUACAUUUCAGAGGGAAACAUUAUAUGUUUUACAUCACUGCAUAUGUUAUGAUAUACGUGAUAUAUAAUAAUAAUCACAAGAGCCAUUUUCCUCUAUUGAGUAUGCUACUUUUUACUUUUAAUAUUUCAAGUAUUUAUUUUUGUGGUCAUAUGUUUUUACUUAAUUGAAAUUUUCACUCCAGGACAUGUACUUGUUUUGUAACAGAAUAAUUUCACGGAGUAGUAUUAGUACUUUUGCUUUGUUAUGGUUUGAAAACUUCGCCCGCUUUUAAUUUUUUUUUUCGAUCUAUCGGCAUGCGCAAAUCCGUCCUCUCUACCGUUGACGGUACAUGCCCGCAACGGACGACGUGUACCUGAGCUGUAUGGCGCCGGACCGGUUGAGCUGGACCGUAUUGAGCUGCAACGGCACUCGUGCUUUAUCAGCCUUCGUGUGCUUGGCACACUCAUUUGGCUCAGGCAGAUAGUGGUCAAUCCACAGUUCCCUUGAUGUCUAGCCACAAAGAUUUUUAAGAAGACAAAAAAACUUCCUAUGCAGUGGACGUGUAAGUACUGCACAUUCAUCUCACAAAUGAUGGACCAAUCAUUCCCACUACGCAGACAAGAAAUUGUAAAAAAGGAGCCUGCUGUACACAACAUGGUUGAACGAUGGCCAGCACUCUUCACAGAGAGACAGGUGUUUGCCGAGUUUAAUAGAAUCGCCAGUAAGAAUCUUGAGGGAGACUUCUUUGAGGCUCUGGACCAGUACACUCAUCGAAAUUUUCAGAACAAAAAAGGGAACUGUUGGCCGGAAACUCAGUGAGCUGAUGCAGCACAUGAGCUGGAUGACAUCAGACGUGACAGUACUUCGCUCUGUUGUCCUCAAAGGCAUUCCAAUUUUACUUGUUGACGACUCCAGUGAAUUCUUCAAGACAUGCUCUGAUACAGCAAGAGACGAGGCCCUAGAAUGGAUCACUGUUGGUGUGCUGACAGUUGUCAGUGAAGAUAGUCCUCACGAGUGUCCAAGUUCAGUGGACCUCCAGCCCAUCUCCACUGCCAUCAUUCUGGAGGGAAUCCAUUCAAGUACCAUGUUAUGCUGUUAUGCUAAUAGUGGAAAUAGUGCCAAGUUGUGUUACAAAGAGUUGUUGUUAGAUAAUGUUGUCAACAGUGAACCUAGCAAGGUUGACCUGUUUAAAUUUUGUUUUGGGAAAAGUUUUAAUACUUGUUAUGUAGUAAAAUACAAACCCCAAGGAUUGAUGUUUUUAACCUUGUUUAAACCUUGGACUGAUGCCCGCUUUGGGACACAAAAGCAUUUGUUGUACUUUCAGUUUUGAUCAGAAAUGCAUUCAUUUUCAUGCACUGAAGUCCUGUAGUUAUCAGGUGUUUACCUGUUUAAUAUUGUGAGACUGUUACAUGCAUAGAAUUAGUUCACAAAAAUGUGGGUUUAUUUUUGACUUGUCCAUGUCAUGGUACACAGUCGUAUCAAACCACAAGUUUGUUGUUUAGCUGCUGUUUUGUAUUUGAAUGUACAAGAAAGUGAUACUUGGGAACAGAACACUUGAGGCUGAAUAAUAGAUGUAAUGCACAUUGUUAUUACAAUAGCUUAACAUAGAUCACACUAUGAGCAAUUUUACAAUUAGCUUUAAAAUACAUUGAAUAUGACAAGAGGAUGGAGAACAGUAAUUUUAUUGAUUAUUGUAAGGUUAUUACAUGAGUAAUAAUGAUUCCAUGGAGAAUUGGAAUCAAAAGUAAUAACAGUAUCAAAUGUUUAUUGUUCAGCCUAGAUCUGUAAAUGAUGCAAUUUAUUUUUAUUUUUAAUAAAUGUUGUAAUGCAGCUGAAUCAACCCGGUGAGUGUUCUUUUAAAGUAUAUUUUUGUGGUGUUUUUGCCUUUAUUAGGUAACAACAGCUAAAAAUAGAUAAGAAAUAGGGGUGAGAGAGAGAAAAAGGACAAGGACCCAUUCAAGGUAAUUAGUUUGUUUAAUUUAAGUGAACUUGAAAAAUUAGUGAGUAGUAAGUUGUAGGUAUUUAGUAAUUCUAAGUGGGGUUAAAUUUGUAUCAAGCAGUCCACACAAAAUGAAAAAAUUGACUUAACACUAAGCAUGGUUAUUAAGUUACAUGAACUUAAUUUUUUUGUUUCUGUUUUACUACUUGAUUUAGUACUGCACACUUAAAAUUAACAAGCUUUUGUAACUCACUAAUCUUAAGAUUACUUUGCUUAAUUUUUUUGAGGCAACGAGUUUGCAUACUUUUUUUAAGUAAGGUCAACUAAUUAGACUUUACAGAGUGUAGGCGCAGCCAGGAUGUCUAAAAAAAUGUGUUUGGAAGCUUCAUGUAGCUGAGAAGCCGCAAAUAUACUAACUGAGGCUGGUGGAUCUGUUAAACUCGCCACUGUGUGAAAGAAACAAAGAGAUAACAAAUACAGUGUUAUCAGACAAACCGUGUAAUUAUAAAUAUACACCCUUUCACACCUUAAUUGCCACGAUCAUCUUGUAAGGCUUAACAAGACAAGAAACUACUAUAACUGCCUAAAAUGACAGCGGUUCUGUGCUACAUUAAUUUUAAAUAAAUUUGAUCACUUGUCUACUUACACUGAAUUAUGGACAUUUUAUUCAAUUUCUCCCCACCUGUGAUAUUCCUGCCAGUUUGACCUGCCCACCACUGGGUAGUGCUAUGUAAAUGAGGUCUGUUUACCAUAUAUUCCAAAAAUAAGUGUAAAAUUGGUGCUACUGAGAUGGAGUGAAGUUGACUAACAAGGUGAAACACAGAAUUGGGUGAUAAUGUUUUGCUACAUGCUUUACAACCAGACAAACCAAAAAAGGGAACAGUAAACUUAAAAGUAGCAACAGAAAACUAGAAGAACUACUAGAAAACACAGUGAACUGAAGAGUUUUAUAAAAAAUAUUUGUGUCCCCCCCACCUCUGAAAUCAAAGUUUCGUCACUGGUGGCCGGAGCUCACACUGGUGGUCGUCACAUGAAUUACACCAAGGGAUUUUCAGACAAAGAUAAUUCUUUGUCUCUGCUUUAGCGUUCGGCCGCAUGGCUUCCAGAUGUGUCCAGCCUCUCUGAAUAUAGAUUUAACUAUGUUACAUGAACUGUAUUCUAAAUACAGGUCGGAUGUGUGUAUAGGUCGGUUUAGAAGGAGAGAGAGGGAGAGAGAGAGAGAGAGAGAGAAUACAAGGAGAGAGCAAAGCUCUUAAAAGCACCGUCAGAGACAAGUUACAUUUACUUUACCACUCAGCACCCAAGCGGCGUGUGUGCUGAGGUUUGACCGGUAAAGUAUCUUUAAAGUUGUUCAAACGGUCACAAUGAGCUGGAGACGCUGCUCACGGCGCUUAAAAAACUAUGGCACAAGGCCGUAACCGGAAACCGGAAGUGGUGAAUCGCCGCUAAAACACUGGAGACUCGGCGGUCUCAUACAAAACAAAUACAUUCAAGUAUUAAAACAAUACGCUACGUAUUAGAUUAACAUCUGCCCAGACAAUAAAGCCUCUUACUUUACCACCCUCGCAGUGUGCGUGCGCGUCGGGCCAGUGAAUCACGUGGUCUCUCAAGCGUUCUUCGGCCGCUGGACCGGACAAGCAGCGGAUUUUCUCGUGCUGCCUCGACGGGAUGAACGUCGUCCUUCUUCUUCAGGGAUGUGGAGCUCGUGCUCCUCAGCGGAAUGAAACUCGCGCUUCUGCAGGGGACGGCUGUGGAAGCCGUUUGUAGAUCGUUGGGAAAAGAAAAGUAAAGUCCGUGGGGAAAGUGAAACAGUCUGAGAUUGUUCCGCGUGCAAUUUCCUGUUUGGUCUUUUCAAGUUAAAAGAGCAAAAGUCCUUUUGAAAAUAAAAACGUCGACUGAGAUAAAAGACAAUGAAAGAAAUGAAAGAAAAUAACUCUGGUUGCCCCCUUUAGCAACUAAAUCAUCUGGAAAGACCCGGAGGGGUCUGUUGACGUCUUCAGAGCAGGGAAAAUGGCAGCGAUUAUUGAUGUCUCAGUGGUUUUAUUCUACCUGAGAGGUCCUGCCUCCUUGAGGUGCUGGUCAUGGGAUGAUGCUGGCUUUAAGCCAAUUGAGUGUCAGAGGUCAAAGGAGAGUGGGAGCGGCCAGGAGCAGAGCAGGGGUUUCUGGGUUUUCUUAAGUUAACACCAGAAGAUACACUCUCCAUGCUGGAUCUUAGAGGGAGACUUUAGCUGGCUUCAUCUUGGCUCAAAGGCCACACUUUUACGACCCAUUGUGUGUGGAUCCCACCACAUGGUUAGUUCUGUAGGGAAUCUUGCCCAACAAUGGUAUCUUAGAAAAUCAUUUUUUUUACCGUGGUAUCGAAAUUGGCAUCGAGAAUCGUGUUAUUUUACUGGUAUUGGAACAGACUACUGAAUUUUUUGGUAUCGUGACAUCCCUAAUAUUAACACUUCUUUGCUGUAGCUCAACAACAUGUUUGUUUGCCUCAACCACUAACACCUCCAAUUCUAUGGCAUUCAAUUUCGCUUUGUGCUUGCGGCCACUCUGCUCUCCGUAAUGCUCUUGCAAAACACUCCUCAUUUAAAUACUGCUGCCUCUACCAAGUUUGCACCUGUUAUCAUUUAUACAAUUAUUGUAAUUUAGCACACUUUAUUCAGGAUCUUUCUAGAUAAUGCCCAAAGUGCUAUAUUUCUGGCUUUAUAUACCAAAACAGGUGCAAACAUAACAACGUUCAAACUGACAUAUUCAAACGACAAUUAUUUAUGAUAAAAUUAAAUUGUUUUUUUUUUCCUUUUAUUUCUUUUUAGCAAUGCCACUUCUCAAACAGUUUCAGACUACAGUGAGGCAGAGGGCUGAACAUCAGAGGAUUUAUAUUUUCAUGCUGUGAGGUUUCUCUUUUUUCCCACUUGAUAGCAGUAUUGGCACAUCUUCUAGUCUUUUGUGGCUCUCACACUUGUACCUGUGACGACUGUGGCUUAGGGGUAGAGGGUUCGUCCUCCAACCUGAAGGGGGAAAGAAGAAAAAGACCUGUGUAUAUAUAAUAUUUUCUAGUUUAUGAAACAACAUCGACUUAUCAGGAGAGGGAGGGUUGUCCAGCAACCGGCAACGUAGGAUAGUAGCGUGACGGAGAACGGCUUCUUGUCACUUCCUGGAUUCCGUGACAAGAGGUGUGGGACUAUGGCUCUGGACCAAUAAGGGAGAACCAAAGUGAUUUGCGGUGGCUCUCCUCCAAUAUUUUAAACCAAUCACAUUAAAUCUACUGUUAUAAUUAUAUCUAGCCUCUUCUGUUCGGGGUCAUUAUUGACUACCUAUUGCUAACUGAUUUAGCCUAGGCUGUGCUAAUUGUCCAUAGCUAUGUUUUUCAUCUUUAAUUGCGUCUCAAUAAAUACUUGAAUUGGACCAGUCCGGCUCAUCUCUUAUUUACGAUAAACCAACACGCCUGUCACUAGUUAAUGAAAGCUCCCUAAUUGGCGAAAUGCAAGGGGCUGUACUGACAUAAAAAAAUCAUAUCCUUAUCCACCAGUCAAAAGAGGAGUUUUAUCAUUUGAACGCGAGUUGCACGUACGCUUCCGAGUAUAAAAGUAACCGCAGGCAUUGUCAGCAUUGCCUAGCACAGCCUUAUUCAUUAUUCGUGUGCAAGUCGCUCAGAGCCACACAUACAAACGCACUCACAAGAUCACAAUGUUGCAAUUAGAACUUAACUAACUUCAAUCACACUGUAUCAGCAAACAAACACAGCUAUGGACAAGUUUCUGAUUCGUUAAAGUCAGGCAACCGAUGCGCAAGCUGCGAAGAAGCCAAAGCUUCGCAAAUAUGACGAGCUAUUUGCAGUUGGGUGUCACCGUCACUGGCACGACGGUGACUAGUAACGUCCUCAGUGUGUUUUUUGUCCCGAGGUGCUGGCAAAUGAGAACAUGAAACCAUGCUUUCGAGUCAGUGCUUCACCGGGCUGUGAAAAUAAUUAACCAUAUUAAAGCUUGUCAACUUAACUCCCUUUUGUGUGGGGUCCUCUGCCAGGAGAUGGGUUCAUGGCACGAACAGCUGUUGCUGCACACUGAAGUUCACUGGCUCUCCAGGGGGCGGGUGUUACAAUGCAGUAUGAGCUGCGAGAGGAGGUAAAGUUGUUUUUGACUGAAAGUCAAACAGAUCUGGCGAAGCACCUGGAUGAUGCCAUGUGGCUUGCCUCUCUCUCCUAUUUAGUGGAUAUUUUUGACCGGCUGAAUAACCUUAACCUGUCUUUGCAAGGCCGCAAAUCUAACGUUCUGCUCCUCGCUGAUAGAGUGAAUGCCUUCACACAAAAAUUGCUCUCUGGCAUGGUCGCAUCAGUUCUGGAAACUGCGACAUGUUUCCCAGCCUUGCAGACUUCAUAGCGAUGAUUGUGGCACUGAUUUCUCCUCUCUCCUCCAAUCAGCUGCUGAUCACCUUUCAGCACUUAAGAAUCAAUCAAUCAUUCAAAUUUUAUUUGUAUAGCCCAGAUUCACAAAUUACAAUAAGUCUCAUAGGGCUUUAACAGGGUGUGACAUCCUCUGUCCUUAACCCUCAGCAAGAGUAAGGAAAAACUACUAAAAACCCUUUUUAACAGGGUAGAAUUACAUAGAAACCUCAGACAGAGCCACAUAUGAGGGAUCCCUCUCCCAGGACGGACAGAAGUGCAAUAGAUGCCACGUGUAGGAAAACAUCAUCCAGAUUAAAGUUUUUAGCAGAAUUGAUGAGGGUAAACAUCCCGAAGGACAACCCCAACAUGACAUGUCAAGCAGUCCCGCUGCAAUCAAAGUCCCUGGUCAGCAACCAGCAGGACCACAAUCCACCAUCCAGACCAGGCGCCACUCCAGUCCUCAGUCACCGUCCGCUGCCGCCCACCACGAGCCUCGGUCCUGGUCCAUCGCCCGUACCCAAUGCCAACGCGACACAGGUUCCGCCACCACGAUCAGCCAACAUGACACAGAAUCCGCCACACUGGAUCAACCACCGCGACCCUCGAUGCGCGAUCCAAAAACCGCAGCAGAGGGGCUUGAUGGCUAAAAGGUCUGGCUCCUACUCUACUUUUAGGGUUAGGGUUAGGGUUAGUCUUUAGGGAUGACAAGUAGGCCUGAAUUCUGGGAUCAGAGUGCUCUAGUGGGUUUAUAAGGUACUAACAGCUCUUUAAGGUAAAAAGACGCUAUAUUAUUAAGGGCCUUAAAGGUGAGGAGGAGAAUUUUAAAUUCUAUUCUAGAUUUAACUGGAGCCAGUUUAGCGAUGCUAAUACUGGAGAAAUGGGCUCUCUUUUCUUUGUUCUCGUCAGGACACGUGCUGGACAAGCUGUAGAGUCUUUAACGACUUCCUGCUGGAGCCUGAUAAUAAUAAAUGACAAUAGUCCAGUCUCGAUGUAAAAAAGGCGUGGACUAGUUUUUCUGCAUCUUUUUGCGAAAAGACAGGUCUGAUUUUUUAGAUAUUACGCAAGUGGAAAAAGGCGGUCCUAAAGAUUUGUUUUAAGUGACUUUUAAAGGAUAAAUCAGGAUCGAAGAUCACUCCUAAGUUCCUGACUGUUUUGUUGGAAGCAAGGGCAAUGUCAUCUAGCGCAGCUAUAUCAUUAAAUAAUAUAUCUCUAAGGUGUUUGGGGCCAAGUAUUAUAACCUCUGUUUUGUCUGAGUUUAAUAAGAGAAAAUUGCGGGUCAUCCAGGUUUUUAUGUCCUUGAGACAUGUUUGAAGUUUAGUUAAUUGAUUACUUUGUUCAGGUUUUAUUGACAAGUAUAACUGGGUGUCAUCCGCAUAGCAGUGGAAAUUUACCAAGUGUGUCCUGAUAAUGUUUCCUAGUGGAAGCAUAUAUAAUGAGAAUAAAAUUGGGCCGAGCACAGAGCCCUGUGGAACACCAUGGUUAACUUUGGUGCGCACAGAUGACUCAUCAUUAAUUUGCACAAAUUGGGAGCGAUCAGAAAAAUACGAUUUAAACCAGUUAAGGGUGGUUCCAUUAAUGUUAAUUAACUGUUUGAGUUUUUGUAAUACAAUUUGAUGAUCAAUUGUGUCGAAUGCUGCACUGAGAUUUAACAGAAUGAGGACAGACACAAGUCCCUGAUCUGAGGCCAUUAAAAGGUCAUUCGUGACUUUUGCCAAGGCUGUCUCUGUACUGUGAUUGGCUCUAAACCCUACUGAAAGUCUACAUAUAUAUUAUUUUCCUGGAGAAACUCACACAGCUGAUUGGCUACAACUUUUUCUAAGAUUUGAGACAUGAAGGGGAGAUUAGAUAUUGGUCUGUAAUUGGCUAAAACCUCUGGGUGACUGUAACAAACUAUUAAUUAGGGGCAGAAUUUCUUUAAGUAAUUUUGUAGGAAUGUGAUCUAAGAUACAGGUUGUUGGUUUAGAACCUGAGAUUAUUUUGGUUAAUUGAUCACGGGUGAUCAAAGAGAAGCUUUCUAAGUAAUGGGUAGGAUUCUCAGCCGUUUGUGAGAUCUCUGUUGCAGGGAGGGUAUUAGUGCCAAUUGAGGGCAGGAGAUGGUUGAUUUUAUUUCUAAUAGUUAGAAUUUUAUCAUUAAAAAAGGUCAUAAAGAUAUUGCUAUUUAGGGAUUGAGGAAUACUGGGUUCGGUGGAGGUGUGACUCUCUGUCAGCCUGGCUACACUGCUGAAGAGAAACGUGGGGUUGUUUUUAUUCUCUUCUAUUAGUUUUGAAUAGUAGGCAGCUCUUGCUCUGUGGAGAGCCUUUUUAUAUUCUCUAACACUACUCUUCCAGUCUAUGAGGUUGCGCUGAGCGCCACUUCCUUUCUAGUUUUCUUGAUAAUUGUUUUAACUCAUUGGUCUGGGAAUUAUACCUCGGAGCUUAUUUACUAUGUUUGACAUGCUUCUUUUUUAGAGGGGCUUUUGAAUCUAAUGUUAAUCAUAAUGAGUCUGCAGAGCUAUCGAGUAGGUGGUCGAUCUCAAUGGAGCUUGGGUUUUUUAAGAAUUUGUUCUUCAUAUCUACGGAUAAUACGGGUUUAAAUGUAAUUGGAAUUAUUUCCUUAAAUUUAGCUACAGCACUAUCAGGUAGACAUCUAGAAAAUUUGUUUUUUAUUAGUGACAUAUAUUCACGGUAUUCAAGGUUAUUAAAUUAUGGUCUUAUAGAACUGGAUUGCGCGGAAGUACUGUUAACUGUUCAAUUCUGACACUGUACGAUAAUAAGUGAAGUGUGUGGUUACAACAGUGAGUAGGUUGGUGUACACACUGACUGAAACCAAUUGAGUCUAGUAUCGAAAUAAAUGCUACGCUAAGGCAAUCUUUUUUACUGUCAACAUGAAUAUUAAAGUCACCAACAAUAAUCAUUUUAACGGUCUUUAGGACUAAGUUUGAUAAAAACUCAGGGAAUUCCGUUAAAAAUGCAGUAUAAGCCCUGGGAGCACGCUUAACUACAGCAAAUAUGAUUGGCUGUUGGUGUUUCCUUGAUUGGCGUGGAUAAUUAAGAACCAGACAUUCAAAUGAUUUGUAGCUGAGUUUAGGUUUAGGAUUAAUUGAUAGACUGGAGUUAAAAAUAGUAGCAACUCCACCUCCUCGCCCAAAUUCUCCGGGAACCUGUGAAUUUAUAUGACUGGGGGGAGUAGAUUCAGUUAGACUGACAUAUUCAUCAGGAUGCAGAGACGUCUCAGUGAGGGAUAAUAAAUCUAUAUGGUAAUCUGAGACUAGUUCAUUAACUAAAAUAGCCUUAGUUGACAGUGAUCUAAUGUUUAAAAGACCACAUUUAAAAGUCUUAGUUCCCUAUGUUGUUUCAGAGGUUGUUUUAAUUUGUAUUAGAUUUUUGUGUGGAGUUCUCACUCUGUUAUUGUUUAAUUUCAAUAAUUGAAUUGGACGGUGGACAGACACAAUCUCUAUGGGGCUUUGUGACUGAUUCAGAGGGAGUGCAGAGAAGUGUUUAGCACUGCAGCUCUGCUUCCUGGUCCCAACUAUGUGUUGUCAUGUAAUAGACUGUGUAAUAUUCCUAGGUAAGAGAGCUGCUCCAUCUCAAGUGGGAUGAAUGCCAUCUCUCCUAACAAGACCAGGUUUUCUAAAAAAGUUAGACGAUUAUCUACAAAGCCCACACUGUUUACAGUGGCAUCAAACUUAUAUGCCAUGCCACGCACUGCAUGAAAAGAAGAAUUUGUGUCAGUCAGUCGCUGCAAAUUUCAGGUUAAUGGCUGUUUACAGGAAUCCUCAGGCAGCACAGAAAAUUGCCACAAACUGCCGGGAAUUGACUCAGGGUUAUCCCACUGCUCUUAGGCCUAGUGGAGGCUUUCACAUGUAAAUGACAAUGCUGUGAGCUUUACAAAUGCAAAUCAGAUGCAACGGUAACACUUUUUUCUAAAAGGAACUAACUAAGGUACCAACUAAAAUAUCUGAUGUAAGUACACCAGACUUAAAGUAAAUAUAAAAUAUGAAAUCGUAGCUUAUAUAGUUUUUCUGUAUGUAAGUAAUUUGGCUAUAAUGAAUUACAUUGCAUAGCAUAAGCAAAGGUGAAUGUAUGAAAACAAUUUGAAAAAGUGCAAUUUAUUUCAGCAUUUGACUGUCAAGCUCAUCCAAGAUAAUAUGUUUGAAUGGAGAGAGUGGCACCACCGCACAGUUUUCUGCUGACACCAAAACACUGUGCUUCACAUAAAGCGUGUCAGUUGUGUCAUUGCGUGUCAAAGUUCAAACCAUUUGGCCUCCCAAAAUACUGCCGCGGGCCCAGUAUGGAUGAGUCGAAGUGGAUAAGACGGGCGCACAAUCCCCAAAUUACGGUAAGAGCUAAGCUACAGAGAGAAGCCACUGCUAACUGCUAAAUUAACUCUUAGAUCUGAAUAGCAUGUUAACAACUGAGGGAUUAGCGAGAGAGUUGCUAAAAGAGAGAGGGCAUUGAGAGCUUGAGUAGAACUAGUGCAUAUUUAAGCAUGUAUGAACUUGUUUUUUCAUUGACGUAACUUUUUGUCCUGAUGUAUUUUAUAGGAAACUGACCGUCUAUUCACACCUCUGAGGCAAACAACUGGCGCCACGAACCGGAGUGAGGAGACUCUGGCUGCCAGUCCGGAUUUGCAGUGUGGAAAAUGAGGUCAUUGAAUCGGCGUAUACUAUGACGUACUAUGGGCCAGAAUGAAGGAACUUCCUGUAAAUCCAGCCGGACUUGGCAGUUCUUGCAGUAGCAUUGAGAAGUUCAGGAGUCGACAGAGAAGAAAGAGGCGGAUUGAAGCGGAACAAAUGACAUGGUGCCAUCCUUCCACAGCCAGGAGCUCACCGACCUGUUUGCCACUCUUCAAAUAAGACUUAUUUAAGAUAAGCUAUACUGAAUCUUACAGCUACACCACAGAUGUCGACACAAAGAACUUAUGACCCAGAGGCGGCAAAGAGACAUUUCAAUCUUCAGCUGAUUAGGUUUUCACUGGCUAGACCAUUUGUGUUUUUACAAUAUUUUUUGCUGAAUGUAAAUAAAGCUUUGACUCAAAUGUU